AGCAAAUCUCUUAAAGCCGUUCUCAGUUCGGAUUGUAGGCUGCAACUCGCCUACAUGAAGUCGGAAUCGCUAGUAAUCGCGGAUCAGCAUGCCGCGGUGAAUACGUUCCCGGGCCUUGUACACACCGCCCGUCACGCCAUGAGAGUUUGUAACACCCAAAGCCGGUGGGGUAACCUUUUGGAGCCAGCCGUCUAAGGUGGGACAGAUGAUUGGGGUGAAGUCGUAACAAGGUAAC
rnacentral:rRNA from 1 species